rnacentral:misc_RNA from 1 species
GGGGAAGCUCUAAAGAAGAACAAAAUCAACAAGGGUGGCCAAGCAUUACCCUGCACGUCAUUACGCAACAAUUCCAACACACAGCUAGAAGGAUCAUUAAGGAUAUGUUUCCCACAAUCAGCCUCAACAGCCAAAUUUACCAACUUAUCCGCAAUCAUGUUCCCUUCACGAAAACAAUGAGCCCAAGAAAUCUGCCAUUCUCGAGCUAAGAGAGCCUUACAUUGAGAUAACAAGUUGACAUACCGCACAUUAGAAAUGACUUUCCCCCUUAUCAAUUCCAGGGAAGCCUUAUAAUCAAUUUCCACACACACCCUUCUGUAGCCAAGCUCCCACGCAAGAAUACCCAAGCUGAACCAGAAAGCCGUUCAAGCAUCUUCCCAAAUGAUCUCAUAACACACCACCACAUCCCACAACACCUGGAUUGCUUUUAGAAGCACCAUCUACAUCCACUAGUUGGAGUAGACCAAGGUACAGGAUUUUAAUAGUGGUGGAACACUGACGACCAUAAUUCUCUCAAGCAGAGACAUUAUUGCAAACCUAGGUACGUAUCACAACCAUUUUUAAAUUAAUAUCCAAACUGUGACCAUUAAACACAAAAUUGUUCCUCCACUUCCACAACCACCAAAAUGUAGAACAUAGCACCUGAAGAGAGGAAGCCUUUCCAAACUGAACCCCCACCAGUUUAUUACAACUGAGAAACCAAUCACCCAUGCUCAUUCGUUGAAACCUGAGGAGGGAAUCACGAUCCCAAACCUUCCUCCAAAUAUUCUGUGCUGACAACGAUCUCGAAAUAUAAGCAAAAGAGUUUCACUAUGAUCCCCACAACGAAAGCAACUCGAUAGAAUAACAAAACCUCUCCAACACCUUUCAACAUUAGGCAUAAGUUUGCCAUGCAUCAAAGUCCAUAAAAAGACCUUAAUCUGUUGAGGGAUUUUAUUUUCGAACAGAAACAGAAUCACUAGCAGAAGCAUACAAAUAAGCCGAUUUGACAGUAAAC